rnacentral:rRNA from 1 species
UACGGAGGGUGCAAGCGUUAUCCGGAUUUACUGGGUUUAAAGGGUGCGUAGGCGGGCCCUUAAGUCAGUGGUGAAAGCUCCGAGCUUAACUCGGAAACUGCCAUUGAUACUAUAGGUCUUGAAUUCUGUCGAGGUUGGCGGAAUGUGUCGUGUAGCGGUGAAAUGCUUAGAUAUGACACAGAACACCGAUUGCGAAGGCAGCUAGCUAGACCGACAUUGACGCUGAGGCACGAAAGCGUGGGGAUCAAACAGG